rnacentral:piRNA from 1 species
UGUUUUUGAAACCAACUCCUACUUAUGUGC